rnacentral:rRNA from 1 species
CCUACGGGAGGCAGCAGUGAGGAAUAUUGGUCAAUGGGCGCGAGCCUGAACCAGCCAAGUAGCGUGAAGGAUGACUGUCCUACGGAUUGUAAACCUCUUUUAUCAAGGAAUAAAGUGCGGCACGUGUGCCUUUUUGUAUGUACUUUAUGAAUAAGGAUCGGCUAACUCCGUGCCAGCAGCCGCGGUAAUACGGAGGAUCCGAGCGUUAUCCGGAUUUAUUGGGGUUAAAGGGUGCGUAGAGGGGAUGUUAAGUCAGUUGUGAAAGUUUGCGGCUCAACCGUAAAAUAGCAAUUGAUACUGGCAGUCUUGAGUACAGGUGAGGUAGGCGGAAUUCGUGGUGUAGCGGUGAAAGGCAUAGAUAUCACGAAGAACUCCGAUUGCGAAGGCAGCAUACUAACCUUCCACUGACAUUGAUGCACGAAAGUGUGGGUAUCAAACAGGAUUAGAUACCCGUGUAGUC